rnacentral:rRNA from 1 species
AGGCACUACGGUGCUGAAGUAACAAAUGCCCUGCUUCCAGGAAAAGCCUCUAAGCAUCAGGUAACAUCAAAUCGUACCCCAAACCGACACAGGUGGUCAGGUAGAGAAUACCAAGGCGCUUGAGAGAACUCGGGUGAAGGAACUAGGCAAAAUGGUGCCGUAACUUCGGGAGAAGGCACGCUGAUAUGUAGGUGAAGCGACUUGCUCGUGGAGCUGAAAUCAGUCGAAGAUACCAGCUGGCUGCAACUGUUUAUUAAAAACACAGCACUGUGCAAACACGAAAGUGGACGUAUACGGUGUGACGCCUGCCCGGUGCCGGAAGGUUAAUUGAUGGGGUUAGCGGUAACGCGAAGCUCUUGAUCGAAGCCCCGGUAAACGGCGGCCGUAACUAUAACGGUCCUAAGGUAGCGAAAUUCCUUGUCGGGUAAGUUCCGACCUGCACGAAUGGCGUAAUGAUGGCCAGGCUGUCUCCACCCGAGACUCAGUGAAAUUGAACUCGCUGUGAAGAUGCAGUGUACCCGCGGCAAGACGGAAAGACCCCGUGAACCUUUACUAUAGCUUGACACUGAACAUUGAGCCUUGAUGUGUAGGAUAGGUGGGAGGCUUUGAAGUGUGGACGCCAGUCUGCAUGGAGCCGACCUUGAAAUACCACCCUUUAAUGUUUGAUGUUCUAACGUUGGCCCGUAAUCCGGGUUGCGGACAGUGUCUGGUGGGUAGUUUGACUGGGGCGGUCUCCUCCUAAAGAGUAACGGAGGAGCACGAAGGUUGGCUAAUCCUGGUCGGACAUCAGGAGGUUAGUGCAAUGGCAUAAGCCAGCUUGACUGCGAGCGUGACGGCGCGAGCAGGUGCGAAAGCAGGUCAUAGUGAUCCGGUGGUUCUGAAUGGAAGGGCCAUCGCUCAACGGAUAAAAGGUACUCCGGGGAUAACAGGCUGAUACCGCCCAAGAGUUCAUAUCGACGGCGGUGUUUGGCACCUCGAUGUCGGCUCAUCACAUCCUGGGGCUGAAGUAGGUCCCAAGGGUAUGGCUGUUCGCCAUUUAAAGUGGUACGCGAGCUGGGUUUAGAACGUCGUGAGACAGUUCGGUCCCUAUCUGCCGUGGGCGCUGGAGAACUGAGGGGGGCUGCUCCUAGUACGAGAGGACCGGAGUGGACGCAUCACUGGUGUUCGGGUUGUCAUGCCAAUGGCACUGCCCGGUAGCUAAAUGCGGAAGAGAUAAGUGCUGAAAGCAUCUAAGCACGAAACUUGCCCCGAGAUGAGUUCUCCCUGACUCCUUGAGGGUCCUGAAGGAACGUUGAAGACGACGACGUUGAUAGGCCGGGUGUGUAAGCGCAGCGAUGCGUUGAGCUAACCGGUACUAAUGAACCGUGAGGCUUAACCUUACAACGCCGAAG